rnacentral:rRNA from 1 species
AGUGAACGCUGGCGGUAGGCCCUACACAUGCAAGUCGAACGGCAGCACAGUAAGAGCUUGCUCUUACGGGUGGCGAGUGGCGGACGGGUGAGGAAUACAUCGGAAUCUACUUUUUCGUGGGGGAUAACGUAGGGACACUUACGCUAAUACCGCAUACGACCUACGGGUGAAAGCAGGGGAUCUUCGGACCUUGCGCGAUUGAAUGAGCCGAUGUCGGAUUAGCUAGUUGGCGGGGUAAAGGCCCACCAAGGCGACGAUCCGUAGCUGGUCUGAGAGGAUGAUCAGCCACACUGGAACUGAGACACGGUCCAGACUCCUACGGGAGGCAGCAGUGGGGAAUAUUGGACAAUGGGCGCAAGCCUGAUCCAGCCAUACCGCGUGGGUGAAGAAGGCCUUCGGGUUGUAAAGCCCUUUUGUUGGGAAAGAAAAGCAGCAGGUUAAUACCCCGCUGUUCUGACGGUACCCAAAGAAUAAGCACCGGCUAACUUCGUG